CAUAAAUGUUUUUAUCAUUAUAUCUUUACCCAAAUCCUUGAAACAUUGAAUUUAAGAAUUCUUUUACUUCCUUCUUCAAAAAGAAUUCUUUUACUUCUUUCCUUUUGAUCAAAUGGAUCAUUAUAUCAAAAAAAUUCAUCUUUUUUAGUAUUCUAGAACUACCACUCACACAAAUGAUAACCUCAAUUCAAUUCGUACGUUAAACCUUUUAUGCUCGUGACUAGAAUCUUUCAAUUGAAUUUCAGUUCUCUGAAGCUUCGAUUAAGCAAAUUCUUCUCAGCUUCUCAAGCUUCGAUUCAGUUUCUCAGCAAAGCUUCAAUUCAUAACCUCUCAAGCUUCAAUUUAGUUUUGUUCAUCGUUCAACUUCAGCUUCAGUUUAUAAUUUUGUUAAUUUUUUCUAGUUAUUUUUCCAAUGUUCCCUAUAAAUUGGUAAUUAGGUAAUUGGAAAUUUGUCCUAUGAAGCAUUGAUUUGUUGAUUGGUUUAUAUGGUUCACAUGUUUGGGUAGCAUUAAAACUCUCGACUUAAUCAAUUGUUGUGAAAUCCUGAAGAGAAAUAAUGCAGACACCAAAAGCAAGUUUAAGCCUGAUUGGCGAGUCAUUUUACGGUUACCGGAUGAUGAAGAGGAGCCAAUUUCAGAAUCGCCGCCGCCGUCGGAGUUGUAUAUUUUGACAGCAUUGUUGUGUUUUGGAUGUCAACUUUAGUUGUAUAAUUUUACUACAAGAUCUUGUGUAUGAAUUUCAAUAUUAAAUCAGAAACUGUGUUCAUUUUUCUUCCAAGCCCGGUAAGGCGCAAAUCGCGCCUAUCACCGUGUGUGUGUGUGUACAUUGUGUGUGUGUGUAUAAUAAUAGUGUCUAAAUAUAAAGGUCUACAAUUUCUUGUCUUAGCCAAAGCUGGUGUUAUAGAUAAGCGCUUAUGCUAUAAGUGCUUAAUUAAGUUACUUAUACAAACAUGGGCUUGGAAAAUAUAUUGCUAUAGUGAGUUGGGCAAGUACAGUUAUAAACAUUGCAAAUAUGCUUUUGUUUUUACUAAAAAAGUGUUUUGAUGAAUAUCUCUUUUAUGCAUGUUUGGUUGUUCAUGAAUUGGAUCAAACCAGUAAUGCUGACUAACUUUUCUUCCUACUUCAUAAGCACAUUUAUAUACUUGUCUUUUCUCAAUUUUCAAUGCAUUUAAAGUGGAAAAUUUUAUCGUAUUCGUUAAAUUAUGGACUAUUCCCUACAUGUGGUUUGAUUAUAGAAAAUAAUCCUAGGUGUCAUUGUCAGGUUCAAUCUGUACUGCUGUUACUUGGCGGCCGUGAAAUACCUCCAACAGUACCUUCCAUGCCACUGACGAAAAUAACCGGGUAAUACUACAUUAUUCGUUGGAGUGUGAUUGAUAGUCUUUUGUAGUCGAAUAUCUGGCUCAUGGAGCAUUCUACUAGGGAUUUAUCAGUACUCCUCAAAAAUUCAGUGUCCCUCAAAGAUUAGCUUCAUUGAUUAGAAGUAGUAUUAAGGAUGCUAACAAAUACUCUCACUAGCGGACAAUUAAUUUGGUGGCGCGAUAUCUUGAAGAUUGGGGGAGAAGACAACGAUGAUGGAUGGUUUAUUGAUAAUGUGUGUAAUGUUCUUGGCGUUGGCACCAUAGAUGGUUGGGUCCAGUUUGCUUCAAGAAUCUUGAUCCUAGUUUGUUUAGCAAAGCUGCAAACCCAGGGGCCUCUCAGAGGCUGAUGAGAAUUGGAAUUGGCAGACGUCUUGCUGCCAGGAGAGAGGGAAACUGCCACCGAAAAGUUGAGCAUUCUGUCAGAGUUUAAACCUAGUUUAAAUUUAUAAAUUAGUUAAUAUAAGUAUAGUCAUGAUAUCCACAUACAUAAUGUCAUUGUCCAAAGAUAUCAUUUUAUUAUAGACCUUCAACUCUAGUUAGUACUAUAAAGAAAGAUAUUUAGUCAAUAUGUGUUAGUACUAUACAUUUUUAUAAAUUUGGUACUAUGCUAACAGAGUGUUCUGUUUUUCCCACUCAAUCAAUAGUCUU